rnacentral:tRNA from 1 species
GCACCCAUGGCUUAAUGGACAAAGCACUUGAUUGCGGAUCAAGAGAUUAGAGGUUCGAGUCCUCUUGGGUGCG